rnacentral:rRNA from 1 species
GAUGAACGCUAGCUACAGGCUUAACACAUGCAAGUCGCGGGGCAGCAUGGGGGUUGCUUGCAACCCCUGAUGGCGACCGGCGCACGGGUGAGUAACGCGUAUCCAACCUGCCCUUCACCACGGGAUAACCCGGCGAAAGUCGGACUAAUACCGUAUGUUGUCCAUUGACGGCAUCCGAUUUGGACGAAAGGCUGGGCGGUGAAAGGAGGGGGAUGCGUCCGAUUAGCUUGACGGCGGGGUAACGGCCCACCGUGGCUACGAUCGGUAGGGGUUCUGAGAGGAAGGUCCCCCACACUUGAACUGAGACACGGUCCAGACUCCUACGGGAGGCAGCAGUGAGGAAUAUUGGUCAAUGGGCGUAAGCCUGAACCAGCCAAGUAGCGUGCAGGAUGACGGCCCUAUGGGUUGUAAACUGCUUUUAUGCGGGGAUAAAGUGGCCCACGUGUGGGCUUUUGCAGGUACCGCAUGAAUAAGGACCGGCUAAUUCCGUG